rnacentral:rRNA from 1 species
UGAAUUGACGGGGGCCCGCACAAGCGGUGGAGCAUGUGGUUUAAUUCGAUGCAACGCGAAGAACCUUACCUGGUCUUGACAUCCACGGAAGUUUUCAGAGAUGAGAAUGUGCCUUCGGGAACCGUGAGACAGGUGCUGCAUGGCUGUCGUCAGCUCGUGUUGUGAAAUGUUGGGUUAAGUCCCGCAACGAGCGCAACCCUUAUCCUUUGUUGCCAGCGGUCCGGCCGGGAACUCAAAGGAGACUGCCAGUGAUAAACUGGAGGAAGGUGGGGAUGACGUCAAGUCAUCAUGGCCCUUACGACCAGGGCUACACACGUGCUACAAUGGCGCAUACAAAGAGAAGCGACCUCGCGAGAGCAAGCGGACCUCAUAAAGUGCGUCGUAGUCCGGAUUGGAGUCUGCAACUCGACUCCAUGAAGUCGGAAUCGCUAGUAAUCGUGGAUCAGAAUGCCACGGUGAAUACGUUCCCGGGCCUUGUACACACCGCCCGUCACACCAUGGGAGUGGGUUGCAAAAGAAGUAGGUAGCUUAACCUUCGGGAGGGCGCUUACCACUUUGUGAUUCAUGACUGGGGUGAAGUCGUAACAAGGUAACCGUAGGGGAACCUGCGGUUGGAUCAC